rnacentral:rRNA from 1 species
AGUGAACGCUGGCGGUAGGCCUAACACAUGCAAGUCGAACGCGUGGCGGACGGGUGAGGUAUACAGCGGAAUCUACUUUUUCGUGGGGGAUAACGUAGGGAAACUUACUCUAAUCCCGUAUACGAUUGUAUGAGCCGAUGUGGGAUUAGCUAGUUGGCGGGGUAAAGGCCCACCAAGGAGACGAUCCGUAGCUGGUCUGAGAGGCUGAUCAGCCACACUGGAACUGAGACACGGUCCAGACUCCUACGGGAGGCAGCAGUGGGGAAUAUUGGACAAUGGGCGCAAGCCUGAGCCAGCCAUACCGCGUGUAUGAAGAAGGCCUGCGGGUUGUAAAGCACUUUUUUUGGGAAAGCGUUACCCAAAGAAUAAGCACCGGCUAACUUCGUGCCAGCAGCCGCGGUAAUAC